rnacentral:rRNA from 1 species
AGAUUGAACGCUGGCGGCAGGCCUAACACAUGCAAGUCGAGCGGUAGAGAGGUGCUUGCACCUCUUGAGAGCGGCGGACGGGUGAGUAAUGCCUAGGAAUCUGCCUAGUGGUGGGGGAUAACGUUCGGAAACGGACGCUAAUACCGCAUACGUCCUACGGGAGAAAGCGGGGGACCUUCGGGCCUCGCGCCAUUAGAUGAGCCUAGGUCGGAUUAGCUAGUUGGUGAGGUAAUGGCUCACCAAGGCGACGAUCCGUAACUGGUCCGAGAGGAUGAAUCAGUCACACUGGAACUGAGACACGGUCCAGACUCCUACGGGAGGCAGCAGUGGGGAAUAUUGGACAAUGGG